AACUGUUUGGCGCAGAGGUCAGCGCGCGAGGCUCAUAACCUUGAGGUCCCUUGAUCAAAACAUGGAACAGUUA
rnacentral:tRNA from 1 species